AUAAGAGUUGUAAAUCCGAGUC
rnacentral:siRNA from 1 species